UUUUUUCUUUAGAGGACUCAAGACAAGUAUUUGGUUUUUUUAAAUUACUUCAUAGUUGUUCUGUUUUUAAUUCAGUUUUAAAACAAUUUCUGAUUAUUCAGAAGCCAAGAAGAAAUUUCGGCCAUUAUGUACUUGCUUAUCGGCUGAAAGUCCCAAUGAUAUAUAUCCUUUAUGUUUUAUAAAAAGAUAAGAUUGAUUGGAUUGUCCCAUAAUAUCAUUUUCAAGGGCGUAAUAAUACAAGCUUCGAUUCCAUUGAAUUUGGUCAGCUACUAUAUUAUCUUCAGGAACCAAAAAGUAAUAAUAUACCUCUAGGAUCACUUUUUAUGCGGUUAUCAGUUUUUAGUGAAUUAAACUAUGAACUCGUGAGAAAUAUUCCAAGAAACCUUAUCGGUGUUGACAUAGCUGAUGCCGAAACCGAAAUGAAAUUAAUGCGGAUUCUACUAGUUUAUGCCUUGAUGGUGACCAUUGGAACUUUGGAAGGACCUAUCAGGAACAGGACUUUAGAUUCAGGCAAGACUGGGGCGCAAGGCCCUUAAAUGGGCAGUAUGUUGCAAGAACAUGCUGUUGUAGUCAUAAUUGGGUAACUUGGCCUAUAUUUGGAUGAUACCCAUGGGUAGUAAUCUCAGCAAUCUCUGGAGGAUAUCCCUUCGGAGCAACAUGCACUAUUUGCGGAGGAACAACUAUUCCGAGAUCACAGCCACCACCCAGUGCUGGACCCAGUGCCGCACCAUCCACAGUCACACCAUUGCCUUCUAUUUCUUGCACACAUAUUUUCCUGUUUCCAAUCUAUAUUUGCAACUCCUCCAAUCAAUAUUCAAGAAUCUAUAGUUUAAGAGAGUAUCUAGGAUACUGUCAAAGUAAGGCUUUCUUUUCGUAUUUUGCAUUCUCCAACUAUGACAAAAGUCGGCCAUGAAAAGCACGGCUACCGCACAGUUUGCGAAAUUGCCAAUCUAGCUCCACUCAAUUCAAAAUUUCAUGUCAGAGUCUGCUAAAGCUUUUGUGUGGUAUCGAUUCCUAAUACCUCACUGAGUAUGAAAGUAAUUGCCGCUCUGUGUUGCUCUCAUAUUUCUUGCAGCUUGUUAAAAAAGCUAAAGUGAACAACUUUUGGCCCCUUUUUUGUAAGCAAAAGUUUUUUAAAGUAAAAAAUCAAAGCUUAGCCUAAAUUGAUUGUGUUCUAUCAAUUUAUACGCUUUUAGCAAUUUGUUAAAAAUGUGUAUACGAGUAUGACGUUGAAUUACAUGUGUUAAUU